UCGUCGCCGAGUCUCUUCCGCAGUUAUCGGAGCAACGAAAAGCCAAAAAAGAGUCAACACUCAAUUACAACUGAGCAACCAAUACGAAAUUCCUUUUCCGCAAAUCAUCUCUAACCAAAAUUGAUUUCCUCUUCUCUAUAUAAAAACGUGCAACUCAAAAUCAAAACCCGUCGUUCGAAGCAAGCACUGUCGGUGACGCCGGCGAAUGAAAACUCAACCGCGUUACAAAGGAGAGUGAGCGAGUUACGGCGAACGAGUUCAAAUGGUGACCGGCUUGGCUUAGCGCCGUAGCUGGUGAAGCUAUUCCCGGCUGUGUUCCCCUUCGCGCCGAUGACGUAACAAACUCGAGAAGGUUUCAGCAAAUCAAACUUAAAAUUCUCACAAGGUCAAUAGUAUACAUGAAUAUGCUUCCCAUAUGAAGAUUGUGUCUCAAGGAGAUAUUUCUUUUUCUGGACCAUUACAAGUUUCAAUAUAAGUGGCUUUGCUUGGGCAAAAAGCCGAAAAGACAACACUUCAAUUCGAUCAUGUUGUUUACUAUCAUUUUUUAGUGAACAGAGUAUCAAUACUUUGGAUUCCUCUGUAUUUAACUCAAAAAUCAUUUGGAUACCAUAAAUCAGGAAAGUAAGGAGUUUUGUGGGAGAACACCAACUCUAGAGGCCAUCAUGACCCAAUUGAAAUUUCUAACUCUUCAAAGGAAAAUCCAUAGAGUAGGUUCAAUCGGAAAUACUUAUUUGAUGCUUCUGACGAGUACCACUUGCAAGAACGGUCGAUGACUCAAUGGAAAGUUUGGACAUCAGACUGCAGGGACGCGAGUUUGAACCUGCGACAUUCCACUUAUGCACCUUUAAAGGGUGAAAUUCCUGCAUAUGCUCAAGGGUAUAGUGGAAAGAAAAAUGUUAAUUAGUAUAUCUUGAGUUGUUCAACCAUGUAAUUUAUGUCUGCUUGGGUUAACAUUACUCUUUAUUUAUUGCCAUCCCAGCAGAGUUAUCAGGAUCAAUGAGAAAAUGUUGAAUUUUCAAGACACGGUUGAAAGGCUCUUAGAAAGGAAUGAGCGUCACAUCCAGCGAACUGUCCGAAGAUCAUGUUUUCGGAAAGACACAUUCAACAUUCAAAACAACAGAUUAAGUGCUUUAUGAAGCAAUUGUUAUCUGCUGUUGAGUAUUUUCACUUGCAGGGCGUGAUCCAUGGGGACAUCAAAGGAUCAAAUCUUUUGGUGUAUAAUGAAGGAAUGAUGCGCCGGAACAUCAAAGGUUGCAGAUUUUGGUUUAGGGAAAUUCAUUAGAUCUGAGAUAAAAGAGCCCCUCGCUAGGUGUCUUAUCACCUUAUGGUAUCGUCCUCCGGUGCUUUCGCUUGGUUCAACAGACUAUAAUUUGUCGGUGGAUCAUUGGAGUGUUGGCUGCAUCUUUGCGGAGCUACUUCUUAGGAAUCCUAUACUUCAUGGGAAACCUGAGGUGGUAGCCUCUUCCAAGUUACUACAUUCCUAUAUUUUGAUGCAUCUCAUUAGAAAAUGGUAAACUUAAUCAAAUUACUUCUCUGAUAUAAAGCUUAAAUUAAUUUUGCUAAUGUGUAAAGGGAAAAAAUUAUAACACCUCAUUGUAGCAAUUUAAUUUGAUAAUGCUGAUUGUUGUGGCAUGGAUAAUAUGGGGGAUAUAAUCAAACUGAAGAAUGAGAUACUUAUUUACAUCCGUGUUCAAAUAACAGAUAUCGAGACGCAAUAGCGCUAUAAUCAAAAUUUAACAAACCACUAAUGUUCUUCAAUAUUUAGUAUGAAGAGUUGUCAAAUAGAGUUAGCUAUAACGUUAUUGUUGAGAAAAAGCAAGUGUAAGUUAAGAAGUGUGGGAAAGUCCCACAUUGAUUAGAAAAGUGGAGACUUGCAUUUAUUAGUGAGAGAACUCAUACACCUAUCAUACCUUUGGUUCGAGUGAAGGACUGACUCACUUGUAUCGAAAGUCCUCUACACAUGGUGGUGGAUAGGAGGCAUACAAGUGUAUAUGUGGAUGAAAAAACUUCCGCUUGAGGAUGAAAGAAAGGCUCCAAUGAAAAAUGCCUCCUCAUGAUGACCCAUUGUUAUUUUUCACGAUCUACAGUUGAUAAUACUGAUUUACAUUGUGUUUUAUAAAAGGAAGUGAUUCAUUUUUUUUUAAUAAAUAUAUGCAGGUGACAAUUACAUAAAUUUUUUAAGAUUUGUGGCUCCCCCACCUGAUGGAAAAAGAAUGAAUUUUCUAGUGCAACUUUGAUUCAGCCGCGACAACCAUGUGAUGGUUGCUUCUUCUGAGAGUACUUUAAAGAUUUGCCUCCAAGCAAUGCACAUUUGCUACAAACUCUUCUCUCCAUUGAACCUAACAAACAUGGAACUGCCACAUCUCUCAUAUUAGAGUGUUUCAAAACAAAACCUUAUGCAUGUGACCCAUCAAGCUUGCUGAAGUACCUGCAUAACAAGGAAGUCAACGCAAAGCAAAGGGCGGCAGAGGAGGCAAGAUCAAAUACUAUAUGAAGCAGUUGUUAUCUGCUUUUGAGUAUUCUCACUCACGGGACGUGAUGCACCGGGCAUUAAGGAAUCAAAUUUUUUGUUGAAUAAUGAAGGAAUAUUGAAGGUUGCAGAUUUUGGGUUAGUGAACUUCAUUAGCUCCGGAAAAAAAGAGCGCCUCAAAGUAGUUGUCACCAUGUCGUAUCGCAAUAGAGGUUUUGCUUGGUUUGACAGAUUAUGAUUCGUCGGCGGAUCUUUAGAGUGUUGGCUGCAUCUUUGCAGGACUAGUUGUUAAGAAUCCUAUACUUCAAGGGAAAUGUGAGGUUGAAGCCUCUUCAAAGUUAAUGGAUUCCUAUAUCAUGAUGCAUAAUAGUUUGGUUUGUGUUGUUUACAUCUCAUUAGAAAAUGAAGUUAUUUGGUCUGAAUAUUGCUUAAUAGAUGAAUCAAUUGGAAAUUACAAUUUCUAGACUAUAUUUGAAUUUGUUGUUUUGAAACACUUUUUAAAACCAAAGAACACCUUCGGUCAUUGACAUCACUGGUUUAAAUAUAUCUUUUUAGUGUUCCAAUAUCACUAGCAUUGCUUAGUCUAUUAUUUUAUUCGACAAGCAAAUUUUGUUCAAUACAAGUUCAACCAUGCAAUAUAUGAGUACUUGGGUUGACAUAAGUAUUUAUUUGUUACAAUCUAUGCAGAGUUAUCAGGAUCAAAGAGAAAAUGUUGAAUUUUCAGGACUCCCUACUAUCUGCAAUACACACGGUUGACGAGCUAUUAUUAGAAAGGAAUGAGUGUCUCAUCCGGCGAACCGUUUUGAGAUCAUGGUUUCUGAAGUGGUUAGCACUCUGGACUUUGAAUCCAGCGACCUGGGUUCGACUCCCGGUAGGACCUAUUUUGAUGCAAUCGAGACGAAUUCAUGAUGUUCAUUGGAUGUCCAUUAAACUUGUUAUUUUCUAAUUAUCUUCCUCGGCACGGCAUGAUGCAAUCGAGACGAAUUCAUGAUGUUCAUCGGAUGUCCAUUAAACUUGUUAUUUUCUAAUUAUCUUCCUCGGCACCAGCAAGUAAUAACUAUUUUUGUGUUUUAGUGAAGCUUCAAGGAUGGAUUACAUCUAGUUCGCCUACCAUGUGAUUGAGUACAUGCAGCAUUGUAAGGUUCUUGGGCAGUCCUGAUAUCAAGUUCACGAAUAAUAAGAUUUAGUGCUAUAUGGAGCAAUUGUUAUUUGGUGUUGAGUUUGUUCACUCGCGGGGUGUGAUGUACUGGGACAUCAGAGGAUCAAAUCUUUUGGUGAAUAAUGAAGGAAUAUUGAAGGGUUGCGGUUUUGGGUUAGCAAACUUCAUUAUAACUAGAAGAUACCUUAUUAUGGCAUCUUCCACUGGAGCUUUUGCUUAGUUCAACGGAUAAUGAUUCUUCGGGGAUCUUUGGAGUGUUGGCCGCAUCUUAACAAAGCUACUUGUUAGGGAUCCUAUACUUCAUGGGAAAACUAAGGAAUUACAGAAGUCACAUGGAAAAUGAUUGUAAUUUCUUCAAGUGGUUUGGUGAUGAAAUUCUUGAUGAAAGGGAUUUGAAAAUUGAAAGGCAGAAGAAUAAAAUUUUAACAUUGAAGGAAGAGGUUGUCUACACAAGAGGAUGGCUGCAAAUGUAAAUGGUUGUUGGGAUUUUGAGUUUAGGAUUGAAUCUUGUAAUUUUAACAUUGUAUUUUCAAAUUAGAUUAGUUUAUUGUGUGAUUUUUAGUUUUUCCGAAUCUAUGUAUAAGAUAAAUUGGUGUUAUGAAUAUUUUGAGUUUAUUAUGUGAUUUGAGUUUGUUCUAGUAUAAAACAAGACAUAAAACCUUGAUUAAAAAUAGACGUAUAAAACAGUGGCAUUCAUACUAUAAUGAAACUUUUUAACAUAUGA